AGAUCUCUCUAAGUAGAACUUGGAUGCUGGAGGCUCUGCUGGGCAGGUGGGGAUUGUGGGCAUUGAGGGCUUGGCCUGGGAGUCAGCUGUUGGUCAUUUCCCUGUGGUCUUCUGCAAUCAGUAUAUCACUCGUUCUCUCUGUUGUCAUGUAUUUUCCAGACUGUUGCUUUGGGAGCAAAGGAUCGUGCUUCAAAAGUCUGAGGACAAGUUUGUCCUCUGCGAGCUUGGCUAGAAUAAUUCCCCGGUGGCCACACAACAGGGUGCACCUUGCCACUGAGCCAGAUGAAGCAACGCACGCCGACGAUGUUGUGGAGGCCGGUGGGAGUGAGAAGACCGAGGCAAAGCCCCGGGCUGGGGGACAUGAGGACGAGGCGGCCCCAGUACCUGAGGUGGAGGAGGAGGAGGAGGCGGGCCAGCCCCUUGAAAAUGGCCAGGAGGAGUCCCCAGCCAUCGCCUGGGCUGAGCCGGAAGACGAGCCUGGCCCCAAGGUGGACGGGGCGGACGAUGAAAUCUCUUGGAGCUUGGAGAGUGUGUGUGAGAGCGACCUCGCUGACAGCAACCUCGCAGAAAGUGAUCGAGACUCGGUGGCGGAGCGCACCGACUGCCGCCAGGAUGAGGAGGCUGCAGGAACUCACGACGACGAUGUUGUGGAGGCCGGUGGGAGUGAGAAGACUGAGGCAAAGCCCCGGGCUGGGGGACAUGAGGACGAGGCGGCCCCAGUACCUGAGGUGGAGGUGGAGGAGGAGGCGGGCCAGCCCCGUGAAAAUGGCCAGGAGGAGUCCUUAGCCAUCGCCUGGGCUGAGCCGGAAGACGAGCCUGGCCCCAAGGUGGACGGGGCGGACGAUGAAAUCUCUUGGAGCUUGGAGAGUGUGUGUGAGAGCGACCUCGCUGACAGCAACCUCGCAGAAAGUGAUCGAGGUAAGAACAGCUCUCAGGUAGGAGCCAGUGGGAGAGGGUUCCCGGGACACUUGGAACUUAGGCCUGCUGCUUGGAGGGUGGGGCGGGUGAGUGUGCAAUUGCAAAAGAGAAAGAAAUUGGUGUAAAGAUGUUCGUCGCCUAUGUUCCUAAGGAGGGGAGCAGGUAUGAGAUGCCCGAAUGUUGGCAUCUGUGCUCACGUUGUGUUGGCGGGCCUCAGUCCCUGGAGCAGAGGGAAGGCCUGGGCACCUGGAGGAAAAACCCGGGUGAUGCUGUGUGACCCGCCGUCACCUCGGGGAAGCCGGGGAAACGGGAGGGCCACUCCUUCUCACGCCUCGCUUCCCGCGGUGUGUUUCUACAGACUCGGUGGCGGAGCGCACCGACUGCCGCCAGGAUGAGGAGGCUGCAGUAGGGAAGAGCACGCAGCUGGGAUCCAGGGGAGAGGGUUCCUGGGAGCAGCUGGGUUCCACCUGCUGCCGGGAGAGGGCGGAAGGGGGCUAGGACUUGGGUGGGUGGCCUACUGAGCGGAACUCCGCUGUGGUGUUUUCCCCUCUGAAGUUGCUAAGCCGAAGACGACUUGGGUCCCUGGUCUUUGUUGUGCUGUGUUUGGAUUCGUGUCUCCUUCCUUUGAGAGGGAGAAUGGCUUUUCCCUCCCGAAGCGGCUCCUUCCCAGCUCUUGUCUCUGGCCAUGGUGCCAGCUUGCUUUGUGGGUCGCACCCUGAGGGUCCUGUGCACAAGAGCUGUUGACUUAGUUUCCUUUGUUGCCCUUGAGGGCCUGGUGUGGUGGGACGCAACCCUCUCCUAGGCCCUUGACCCUGGAGACCAAGUUUGCCUGGUGAGUGUCAGGUGGCGGGUGAGAAGGCAGGUCUCUCCCUCUGCACGUUUGGGAUUUCUGGCCUCCCUGUCCUGGU
rnacentral:lncRNA from 9 species